rnacentral:rRNA from 1 species
ACGAACGCUGGCGGCGUGCCUAACACAUGCAAGUCGAGCGAGGUCCAUCUGGUGGCAACACCGGGGAAGACCUAGCGGCGAACGGGUGAGUAACACGUGAGAAACCUGCCCCGAAAUCUGGGAUAACUCGAGGAAACUCGGACUAAUACCGGAUGCCCUUCACAGAUCGCAUGGUCCGUGAAGGAAAGAAUUUCGUUUCGGGAGGGUCUCGCGGCCUAUCAGCUAGUUGGUGGGGUAACGGCCCACCAAGGCAUCGACGGGUAGCUGGUCUGAGAGGACGAUCAGCCACACUGGGACUGAGACACGGCCCAGACUCCUACGGGAGGCAGCAGUGGGGAAUCUUGCGCAAUGGGCGAAAGCCUGACGCAGCAACGCCGCGUGCGGGAUGACGGCCUUCGGGUUGUAAACCGCUUUCAGCAGGGACGAAUUUUGACGGUACCUGCAGAAGAAGCCCCGGCCAACUACGU